GUAAAGAGCUCGUAGGCGGUUUGUCGCGUCUGCUGUGAAAUCCCGAGGCUCAACCUCGGGCCUGCAGUGGGUACGGGCAGACUAGAGUGCGGUAGGGGAGAUUGGAAUUCCUGGUGUAGCGGUGGAAUGCGCAGAUAUCAGGAGGAACACCGAUGGCGAAGGCAGAUCUCUGGGCCGUAACUGACGCUGAGGAGCGAAAGGGUGGGGAGCAAACAGGCUUAGAUACCCUGGUAGUCCACCCCGUAAACGUUGGGAACUAGUUGUGGGGUCCAUUCCACGGAUUCCGUGACGCAGCUAACGCAUUAAGUUCCCCGCCUGGGGAGUACGGCCGCAAGGCUAAAACUCAAAGGAAUUGACGGGGACCCGCACAAGCGGCGGAGCAUGCGGAUUAAUUCGAUGCAACGCGAAGAACCUUACCAAGGCUUGACAUAUACGAGAACGGGCCAGAAAUGGUCAACUCUUUGGACACUCGUAAACAGGUGGUGCAUGGUUGUCGUCAGCUCGUGUCGUGAGAUGUUGGGUUAAGUCCCGCAACGAGCGCAACCCUCGUUCUAUGUUGCCAGCACGUAAUGGUGGGAACUCAUGGGAUACUGCCGGGGUCAACUCGGAGGAAGGUGGGGAUGACGUCAAAUCAUCAUGCCCCUUAUGUCUUGGGCUUCACGCAUGCUACAAUGGCCGGUACAAAGGGCUGCAAUACCGUGAGGUGGAGCGAAUCCCAAAAAGCCGGUCCCAGUUCGGAUUGAGGUCUGCAACUCGACCUCAUGAAGUCGGAGUCG
rnacentral:rRNA from 1 species